AGUGAACGCUGGCGGUAGGCCUAACACAUGCAAGUCGAACGGCAGCACAGUAAGAGCUUGCUCUUACGGGUGGCGAGUGGCGGACGGGUGAGGAAUACAUCGGAAUCUACUUUUUCGUGGGGGAUAACGUAGGGAAACUUACGCUAAUACCGCAUACGACCUACGGGUGAAAGCAGGGGAUCUUCGGACCUUGCGCGAUUGAAUGAGCCGAUGUCGGAUUAGCUAGUUGGCGGGGUAAAGGCCCACCAAGGCGACGAUCCGUAGCUGGCCUGAGAGGAUGAUCAGCCACACUGGAACUGAGACACGGUCCAGACUCCUACGGGAGGCAACAGUGGGGAAUAUUGGACAAUGGGCGCAAGCCUGAUCCAGCCAUACCGCGUGGGUGAAGAAGGCCUUCGGGUUGUAAAGCCCUUUUGUUGGGAAAGAAAAGCAGCAGGUUAAUACCCCGCUGUUCUGACGGUACCCAAAGAAUAAGCACCGGCUAACUUCGUG
rnacentral:rRNA from 1 species